rnacentral:rRNA from 1 species
UACGUAGGGGGCAAGCGUUGUCCGGAAUCAUUGGGCGUAAAGAGCGCGUAGGCGGUCCGGUAAGUCCGCUCUGAAAGUCCGGGGCUCAACCCCGGGAGGCGGGCGGAUACUGUCGGGCUAGAGUCCGGAAGAGGCGAGUGGAAUUCCUGGUGUGGCGGUGAAAUGCGCAGAUAUCAGGAGGAACACCGAUGGCGAAGGCAGCUCGCUGGGACGGUACUGACGCUGAGGCGCGAAAGCGUGGGGAGCAAACAGG